rnacentral:RNase_P_RNA from 2 species
GAAGCAAGCCAGACAGUCGCUGGUUGAUGUCACGAUUUCGGUCGUGGCAAAGACGGGAGGAAGGUCCGGACUCCAUAGAGUAGGGUGACGGUUAAUGGCCGUCCGCCGUGAGGCGAGGAAUAGGGCCACAGAGACGAGCGUAUUUAGUUACGGUGAAACGCGGUAACCUCCACCCGGAGCAAUUUCAAAUAGGCACGCGUUGAUGUGACUCGCGGAGCGUGCGGGUAGAAAGCUUGAGCCGUGGAGUAAUUCACGGCCUAGAGGAAUGGCUGUCAUAACGAACGGGCUUGCCCGGGAGUCGUAACAGAAUCCGGCCUAUCGGCUUGCUUCACUU